UUGCUUAUCUGGAUUUCUGUGGGCUUUCAUUGCCAUUGAACAUGCUUUCUUGAUCAGCUCCUCUCUCACCCGGAUAUCCUCUUCAACCCAUGUACCUGCCAUUUCUCUUUCUUUUGCAGCAGCAGCAGGUCAGAGAAAGUUUGGAACGUGGGAAACUUCUGUCCAGGCCUAAUAACUAAGGCGUCAAUUUGUGUGACUGUGAAGAUGUUGGCCUAGAUAGGUUGGAAUGCAAGUUUGGGAAGUUCACUGGAGCUUUAGUUUGCUGUAAUGGCAAAGAUGGUGAUGCUAUACCCGUCUUAGCAUUCCUCCUCUCCAGCUUCUUAAUGAUGUCUGCACGAACUCGAUCUACCAUGUCAAGAAAAUCCUUCACAAUAACAAAUAGUUGAAAUGGAUGUGCUCCUAUGUCUUUGGAAGCUCCUGAUUGUCCUCCAAGAAAGCUUUCAUUUUCUUCACGAACCCAGCUAUCUCAAUGUUGCUACAGCAUGAUACAAGUCGCUCAACUUCUGAAAAUCUGGUUGAAAGCAAGGAGCACAUAUUAAUGAAGCUGUUGUAGUCUAUGGUGGCAGCUUUCUUUAAGUUGGAGAAUUCGAUGUUUAAGGCUGCAAUUGCUGUAUUUCUGCCAAGGCUAUUGUUCCGAUUGAUCACACGUCGCCCCUCUGAUCUAACUACUUGUUCCACAACAAAGUGGAGUAGAGUAGUCUUCCCAUCAAUACUCUUAACAUCAGAAAGCUUUUGAAGAGUACUAAGAUC